AACGAACGCUGGCGGCAGGCCUAACACAUGCAAGUCGAACGCCCCGCAAGGGGAGUGGCGGACGGGUGAGUAACACGUGGGAAUUUUCCUCAAGGUACGGAACAACUCAGGGAAACUCGGGCUAAUACCGUAUGAUGCAGAGAUGCCAAAGAUUUAUCGCCUUGGGAUAAGCCCGCGUCAGAUUAGGUAGUUGGUGGGGUAAUGGCCUACCAAGCCUGUGAUCUGUAGCUGGUCUGAGAGGACGAUCAGCCACAUUGGGACUGAGACACGGCCCAAACUCCUACGGGAGGCAGCAGUGGGGAAUCUUGCGCAAUGGGCGAAAGCCUGACGCGGCCAUGCCGCGUGAAUGAUGGAGGUCUUAGGAUUGUAAAGUUCUUUAGCCUGUGACGAUGAUGACGGUAACAGGAGAAUAAGCCCCGGCUAACUUCGUGCCAGCCGCCGCGGUAAUAU
rnacentral:rRNA from 1 species